rnacentral:rRNA from 1 species
GGAGUUAGCCGGUGCUUCUUCUGUGAGUGAUGUCCUUCCUGCCGGCUAUUAACCCGCAGGCCUUCUUCCUCACUGAAAGUGCUUUACAACCCGAAGGCCUUCUUCACACACGCGGCAUGGCUGGAUCAGGGUUGCCCCCAUUGUCCAAUAUUCCCCACUGCUGCCUCCCGUAGGAGUCUGGGCCGUGUCUCAGUCCCAGUGUGGCUGAUCAUCCUCUCAGACCAGCUACGGAUCGUCGCCUUGGUGAGCCGUUACCUCACCAACCAGCUAAUCCGACAUAGGCUCAUCCGAUAGCGCGAGGCCCGAAGGUCCCCCGCUUUCCCCCGUAGGGCGUAUGCGGUAUUAGCCUGGGUUUCCCCCAGGUUAUCCCCCACUACCGGGCAGAUUCCUAUGCAUUACUCACCCGUCCGCCGCUCGCCACCAGGGAGCAAGCUCCCCGUGCUGCCGCUCGACUUGCAUGUGUAGCUGCCGCCACGCGUCAUCUGAGCGAGAGUACAACUACUGA